AAGUGCAAUGGAUAGCGCGUUGGACUUCUAAUCCAAGGCCAUGGGUUCGAAUUCCGCCUGAAAUG